rnacentral:rRNA from 1 species
GAUGAACGCUGGCGGCGUGCUUAACACAUGCAAGUCGAACGGAAAGGCUCCUGCUUGCCGGGUUCCUCGAGUGGCGAACGGGUGAGUAACACGUGGGUGAUCUGCCCAGCACUUCGGGAUAAGCCUGGGAAACUGGGUCUAAUACCGGAUAGGACGAUUGUUUGGAUGCCAUUGUGGAAAGUUUUUUCGGUGUGGGAUGAGCUCGCGGCCUAUCAGCUUGUUGGUGGGGUAAUGGCCUACCAAGGCGUCGACGGGUAGCCGGCCUGAGAGGGUGUACGGCGACAUUGGGACUGAGAUACGGAGCAGAAGCGUACGGGAGGCAGCAGUGGGGAAUAUGGCACAAUGGGCGCAAGCCAGAUGCAGAGACGCUGAGUGGGGGAUGACGGGCUUCGGGUUGUAAACUAAUGUCGCUAGGGACGAAGCGCAAGUGACGGUACCUGGAGAAGAAGCACCGGCUAACUACGUG